ncrna:unclassified sequences TwoGGAY RNA
UAGCGCAGCCUCUUAGAUACUAUAGAAAUUAUGCCCAUGAAACACAGAAAUGUCCUGCCAUGGACGGCAGGACAAGGUGUUAUGCGCCAUGGAUGGCGCAUAAAAGCCGGUUUCGUCAAGCAUAGAACAACUACAAGCAUAAUUUCGUACAGUAUCUUAGAGACGUAGCGU